UACGGGGGGGGUAAGCGUUGUCCGGAUUUACUGGGCGUAAAGCGCGUUCAGGCGGUUUGACAAGUCGGGCAUGAAAUCUCUCGGCUCAACCGGGAGAGGUUGUCCGAUACUGUCAGACUGGAGGGCAGUAGAGGGUGGUGGAAUUCCGGGUGUAGUGGUGAAAUGCGUAGAGAUCCGGAGGAACACCAGUGGCGAAAGCGGCCACCUGGACUGCACCUGACGCUGAAACGCGAAAGCUAGGGGAGCGAACGGG
rnacentral:rRNA from 1 species